AGUGGCCGGACUUUGCCACCUCCAGCCUGGAGUGUUUUGGGAAUUCCCCAUUCUGAAAUGGUCUCCAGUGUGGCUGCAGCACGUCCAUUUGACAAUCCUGACCUCGGUGGUGGCAAAUCUUCCUUGUUUCCUGGUGGAUUUAACUUUGCAGAAGGACCAGCAGACAUCCUGACCCAAACCUGAUGGAUGAGAUUGGUGUAAAGUGGAGAAAUUCUGUUUUGGAUUAAUCACAAGGAGAUUUAAAAAACGAGAGAUUUUCUGUAACCUCCUGCCCAGCUGGUAUGGCCUGAAAGCUUGUGUACUCCCAGAUUCAUAUGUUGAAAUCCUAACCCUUCAUGUGACGGUAUUUGGAGGUGGAGUUCUUGGGAGUUGCUGAACAGAAGUGAGGGAAGACGAUGCCAGUGACAGCAGAACAUUGCUGAGGGCUGCAGAAAUAUGACAGCCCCUGGGCCCCUGCACUUCCCCUCCCUGCACAGACAAGAGUAUGGUGAAGAACGGAAUGAAGUUAUAACGCUUGGGAAGUGGCCUGUGAGGCCUGAUGAGCCCAUGUUCUUUCUCUCACGUGGUAAGAAAUGACCCCGAGUGACCAGAGGGGCUCAUCAGAGCUGAUCUGAGUUCAGUAAAAGGGCUGAUGUGGAAGAUGAGGCAGAGAGUGGACCUUAGAUCUCAGAAGUGUCUGUUGGAUGAUGGAGACCUUCACAGAGAACACUUUCUCAGGAAGCGUUCCCAGCAGAGGUCUCAGCCCCUGGCUGAUUCACAGCCUGCAUUUAGAACGGAGAUUGAGUCAGAGGAGAUUCCACCUCUCCAUGCAUUCCCACAGUCCUGAAACUAGUCAGUGUUAGAACCAGAAUUCAAACUGACGGUCUGAGCCCAGAGCUCUGCUCUUCAUCUUACCCAGUAUUACAUUCAUUCCCAUAUUGACUGAAGAUUCACUUUCACU
rnacentral:lncRNA from 1 species